GACGAACGCUGGCGGCGUGCUUAACACAUGCGAGUCGAACGGAAAGGCCCUGCUUUUGUGGGGUGCUCGAGUGGCGAACGGGUGAGUAACACGUGAGUAACCUGUCCUUGACUUUGGGAUAACUUCAGGAAACUGGGGCUAAUACCGGAUAGGAGCUCCUGCUGCAUGGUGGGGGUUGGAAAGUUUCGGCGGUUGGGGAUGGACUCGCGGCUUAUCAGCUUGUUGGUGGGGUAGUGGCUUACCAAGGCUUUGACGGGUAGCCGGCCUGAGAGGGUGACCGGCCACAUUGGGACUGCGAUACGGCCCAGACUCCUACGGUAGGCAGCAGUGGGGAAUAUUGCACAAUGGGCGGAAGCCUGAUGCAGCAACGCCGCGUGCGGGAUGACGGCCUUCGGGUUGUAAACCGCUUUCGCCUGUGACGAAGCGUGAGUGACGGUAAUGGGUAAAGAAGCACCGGCUAACUACGUG
rnacentral:rRNA from 1 species